ACACCAUACUGUACUGCUGAAGGUCAAGAAUGUGGCGAGCCACCCCGAAUUAAUAAUGGAGACAUUGGCGGAAUUAUUCAACCACCAUAUAAAGAUGGAUUAAUUAUUAAAUACCAGUGUUUUACAAAGUACAAACUGCAAGGAAAUGCAUAUGUGCAAUGCCUAAAUGGUGCAUGGACAACACCUCCAACAUGUUUAGGUAUGUCUAUUACAUGUGCUUUAUGCCAUUUCAAAUUAGUUUUAUUCUUUCUUGCCCUACGAAAGUAAGCACAUGUUUAUGUGUUGGCCUAACAUUAAUCCAGUUCAGUGUUUUUAUUUAAAAAACAAACAGAAGUCCACAGGAAAACUGAGGAAUUUUGAUUGGGCUUAAUUUUUUUAUCUGUGUAAGGUGUACUACAUUACUGAUUAACCUUUUUUUCCAGUUCACAAACUAUUGCACAGAUAAUGAAUAUAUGUGUCUGUGUGUGUAUGUAUAUAUGAAACAUGUCUUUCUGAAGAAGUCUUGAUA